GGUGAUGAGGGUCUGCCAGACUUGCAGGCCCAGGUGGCCAGGUACCGAUGGGACUGGGCCUCACUUUGGAGGUUCCGAAUGACUUCAGUCAUCCCAGGGCAGGGGAGACCGCGAAGAAAGACCUUUCAGGGCAGAGCGAUGCUGACGGAAGCUUCCUUCCUGCCUGAAGAGACAGGCAAGCCAUUGAGGUCUUCUCCAACUGCCGUAGCAAUGGUUCACAGUUCACGGUGUACAGAUCCUGCAUAUCUCUUGUCAAAUGUACUCCAAUUUCACUUUCUUGGAUGCUGUUGUAAAUGACAUUAUUUUUUCUUAAUUCCAACUCCUGAUUGGUCAAUGCCAGUAUACAGAAAUAAAAGUGACUUUGGGGUCACCUGGGUGGCUCAGACGGUUAA